CGGGGUGAGUAACGCGUGGGUAACCUGCCUCAUACAGGGGGAUAACAGUUAGAAAUGGCUGCUAAUACCGCAUAAGACCACAGUACUGCAUGGUACAGUGGUAAAAACUCCGGUGGUAUGAGAUGGGCCCGCGUCUGAUUAGGUAGUUGGUGAGGUAACGGCCCACCAAGCCGACGAUCAGUAGCCGACCUGAGAGGGUGACCGGCCACAUUGGGACUGAGACACGGCCCAG
rnacentral:rRNA from 1 species